rnacentral:rRNA from 1 species
UACGAAGGGUGCAAGCGUUAUUCGGAAUUAUUGGGCGUAAAGGGUGUGUAGGCGGUAUAAUAAGUCAGUUGUUAAAUUCUUCGGCCUAACCGAAGUGCAGCGAUUGAAACUGUUAUACUUGAGGGUGGAAGAGAGAAGUGGAAUUCUCGGAGUAGCGGUAAAAUGCGUAGAUCUCGAGAGGAACACCAAUGGCGAAGGCAGCUUCUUGGUCCAUUUCUGACGCUGAGACACGAAAGCGUGGGGAGCAAACAGG